rnacentral:rRNA from 1 species
GCGCCGAUGGAGUGCCUCGCGGCCUAUCAGCUAGUUGGUGGGGUAACGGCCUACCAAGGCAACGACGGGUAGCUGGUCUGAGAGGAUGGCCAGCCACAUUGGGACUGAGACACGGCCCAG